UACGUAGGUGGCAAGCGUUAUCCGGAAUUAUUGGGCGUAAAGCGCGCGUAGGCGGUUUUUUAAGUCUGAUGUGAAAGCCCACGGCUCAACCGUGGAGGGUCAUUGGAAACUGGAAAACUUGAGUGCAGAAGAGGAAAGUGGAAUUCCAUGUGUAGCGGUGAAAUGCAUAGAGAUUGGGAGGAACACCAGUGGCGAAGGCGACUUUCUGGACUGUAACUGACGCUGAGGCACGAAAGCGUGGGGAGCAAACAGGAUUAGAAACCCUCGUAGUCC
rnacentral:rRNA from 1 species